AGGCGAGGCGACCGUUCGGAGACUUCGAGGCUUACCUAAUCGUAGGGACUAGGUGCCGUCACGAUGGUUCACGGAGGGCGAAUCGGGUUCGUAACAGAUGGAUUGUGUGCUUAGGAUGCCGGGUACAACGCAAUGCACUCUUUCUAUUUUGUCUGUCUUGUUAUUUUUCCCCUUUUAUGGGGUUUGAUGAUUAUAUUCUUUGGAUGGCUAAUUUUAUACACUGCAAGAAGAUUCUAAGUAAUUACUUUGUAAAUUUUGAGAAUAUUUUGUUCCUUAAUUAGAAAGGACAUCAAAUGAGUUCUAUUGUACGUGUGCAACUACUGCAUCCUUGUACAUCAUGGACAGUUGGAAAUAUGAGUACAAUUACAUGAACUUUAGGUGAUUGUUGUAGAUAUUUACCCACUGAAUCAAAGGGCAUUCUAACGCAAUGAACUGAUCAUCCAGGAUUUGAGCUAAUCGCCAUGGUAAAGCACCCUUUGUGGUUUGUUUACUUCUACAAAUGUAUUUGGAGUUUGUUUAUCAGAAGUUGUUUUAAUAGUACUUUUGAGCAACUUUAACUAUGAAUUGAUUGUUGGACCAAUAUUAACAAAUAUUACUGGGCCGAUAAUGGUGACAACUUCUUAUAAGUUACAACACAUAUCUCUUGUCACUCUAAUCCUGUAACAGACCAACUUCUUUCUAUCCUUGUGCACAACUAUCUUUUAUUUCAGAAAACAAGCUUCGCGAGUAAUCAUCGUCUUACAUUAAGUAAAGUACUACAUUAAACUUUGGCUAGCAGUUCCGCCUUUGUAUUUUUGAAGCCUUAUCUAACGUAUCUAAACAUGUCUUAUCAUUAUAAAAGCUAUUCGAUGAUUAGUCGGAGUAAGUGCUACAGAUCAUAUUAAGAAGUAACAUUGUCAUAUCACACAUGACCUGUUUGGCUCAAAGAAGCAUGGUGAUUCUGUAUCCAUUCAUGUAAUGGAUAUAUUUAUAGUAUUUUACCCUGUGAGUUCUAGUUUAGUACUUUUCAUUUGCACAAAGUAAAAAAUGGAAGUUCUUUUAUUUUUAUUUUUAUUUUUUUUUGUUUUUGCAACUUUUGCUAGUUCUAGGUUUUUGAUGUUGUAUGCCCUGCUCUUCAGUUUUGCUUUAUAUAGUUGAAUUUAAUAACAAGAAAGCAUGUAUGUAAUUACAAGCAACUAAACUUUUAUGAUUUUUAUUUUAUCGGUUAACAAUUUUCUUCGUUUGUACCUUACAUUCAAUUUAAUUAUAAUGUCAAGGUGAUGUAAAUCCAUCGAGGGAUAAAUCCUUUACCAGUGCAAAGGUAUUGAUAGGCUGUUUUUAUAGCAUUGAGGAGAAGCUGCACCAAUUGAAGAACAUUUGCAGCUUUGAAUAUCAGUUGGAUUGAAGCAAAGAAGUGGUAGCCUUGAGAACAAUAAAUAUGGUUGGCUCAAUGACAACUGCUAUAUGGCUCAAGCAGGGAAUCAGGAGACCUUGGAGAGGAGUUGAGGGGAAAAGACUGUUGUUUUGGGAAGAAAAUACUAGUGUUCUUCUCGACCUGCAUGUCAACUGUCGUGGUCAAUAAUUGUAACAGUAAAAAUAGUGAGACAAGGUUGGGCCAAAGCAGUGAAAAACCAAGGUGCAAGAUGGCUCAACGACAAUAGAGGAUUCUCAUUUUCAGCUAAACUACGCGUACAAGAAAACAUGGGUAAUUCCCCUUUUUGUUGGUACAAAAGAAGAGAGCUGUGCGCAUGAAAACAAAAUAUGCAAAUUUUCCUACCAUGGGAGAGCAAAUAAUGCUAAUUGUUCAAUGGAAGUAAGAAGCAAAUGGCACUUGCAAAUUGGCAAAAUGGCACUGUCGUGUGUGAUAUUUUCCUUGGAAUACAACUGACUCCAUUGCACAUAGACAAAGGAUGAGGAAUUGUCCUCAAGGUUACGUGUAUCAAAGGCAACUAAAACACUAGUUGAUUAACCAACUUUUAUAUAUAUAUAUGUUCGGCUAUCUUUACACGUACCUCGACUAAUUUUACGAGUACCUGCCAGUUGGUUAACCACCUUCUUGUGCUUUCUCUUCCUGAUGCUAUCCUUAUUGUGGGAUUGUACUCUUCCACUUCACUUUGUUUUGUGCUGAUUUUGGACAACUUAAUUCCUCUUUAGCUUUCAUGUAGGAGCUACACAACUUCUAAACUAUAUUCAAAUGAAUAAUUAAGACCUCUUAU